AGCCUCAUAGUGAAAUUCAUAACGGAUUGCAAAUUCGUAGAUGUACUUUAAGUAGUACUGGGGUUU
rnacentral:tRNA from 1 species